UCCAUCAUGGUGUAGUGGCUAACAUUAUCGCCUCUCAUCCAGCACGAAGCAAAGAUGCGCGAUAGCCCAGGGUUCGAUUCCCUGUGAUGGAA